GUCUGCGGCCACGCCCCCCUGAACAAGCCCGAUCCCAUCUGAUCUCGGAAGCCAAGCAGAGUUGGUGCCGUAGGCA
rnacentral:rRNA from 1 species